GAGAGAGAAAGGGAGGAGAAACUUAGAGAAAAAACAAUUUUGACCAAAAUCUAAGCCCCGAAUCGCGAAGCUCAUGAAGAGAAAAACGUCGUACGUUGCGUUGCCUUCAAUUUGAGCUAAAUAUUGGUCUUGGGGGAUGAAAUUUUCGUGGUGGAGCUGCUGCUAAGAUUUUGGCGAAUUUGAAACUUGAUUUUGGAGACGUGUAUGAAGCGGAAAAGGUCAACAGACAGACGAGUUUAAUCCCUAGGAGCUUCACCAGCUGUUCCUUGAGAGUGCUCCAGUUGAUCCGGAGCUUCAGCCUAUUGGUACUACUUUUGUGUAUAUAAUCGGGCACGGCAGAACC